rnacentral:rRNA from 1 species
AUACUUUAAAGAGUAAAGGAGUAAUCCGCUUUAGGAGGGGGGCGCGGAUCAACAGCUAGUUGGUAAGGUAAUGGCUUACCAAGGCUAUGACGGAUAGCCGGCCUGAGAGGGUGAACGGCCACAACGGGACUGAGACACGGCCCGUACUCCUACGGGAGGCAGCAGUGAGGAAUCUUGGACAAUGGACGAAAGUCUGAUCCAGCUAUUCUGCGUGAAGGAAGAAGCUUUUUGGAGUGUAAACUUCUUUUCUGGAGGAAGACGAAUGACGGUACUUCAGGAAUAAGGGGCGGCUAACUACGUGCCAGCAGCCGCGGUAAUACGUAGGCCCCGAACGUUAUCCGGAGUUACUGGGCGUAAAGGGUCCGUAGCCGGAAAUAUAAGUCUAUCUUUAAAGACUGAAGCUUAACUUCAGGAAAGGGAUAGAUACUGUAUAUCUAGAGAUACUAGGAGGUUAGUAGAAUUCCCGGUGGAGCGGUGGAAUGCGUUGAUAUUGGGAGGAAUGCCAAAAGUGAAGACAGCUAACUACUUGUAAUCUGACGGUAAGGGACGAAAGCAUAGGUAGCAAACAGGAUUAGAUACCCUGGUAGUCUAUGCUGUAAACGAUGUGUGCUAGGAGUUGGCUUAUAUGUCAGUUCUGAACCUAACGGGAUAAGCACACCGCCUGGGGAGUAUAGCCGCAAGGCCGAAACUCAAAAGGAUAGGCGGGGGAACACACAAGCAGUGGAUUGUCUCGAUUAAUUGGAUAAUAAGCCAAGAAUCUUACCCAGGCUUGACAUCCUUAGAAUCUGAUUGAAAGAUUGGAGUGCCUAGCUUGCUAGGAGCUAAGUGACAGGUGCUGCAUGGCCGUCGUCAGCUCGUGCCGCAAGGUGUUCGGUUAAUUCCGAUAACGAGCGCAACCCUUGCUUCUAGUUAGAAAUGUCUAGAAGGACUGCCGGGGUAACCCGGAGGAAGGAGAGGACGACGUCAGGUCAUCAUGGCCCUUAUGUCUGGGGCUUCAGAGGCGAUACAAUGGGAUGAAACAAACUGAAGCGAAAUGGUGACAUGGAGCAAAUCGGAUAAAACAUCUCUAAGUACGGAUUGUAGUCUGGAAAUGAGUACAUGAAGUUGGAAUUGCUAGUAAUGGUAGGUCAGAACACUACCGUGAAUAUGUCCCUGUUCCUUGCACUCACCGCCCGUCACACCAUGGGAGUUGAUUUUCUUUGAAGAUUCUGAAUAGG